rnacentral:sRNA from 1 species
AUUGGCUAAAAAAAAC